UAUUUGUUGUUCAUUUUUACAUCCCUAGUUGCUAGUGUAGUGCUGGAUACAUAGUGGAUACAUACAUAAAAUAAUUCUUGAAAGAACAAAUGUGUGAAUAAAUGAAGUUAUUCAACUUCUAAGAAGAACUGAAGCCCAAGCACUUGCUUUGCUCUCAGAUGGUGUUUAAGGCCAUGUGAUGUUGAUAAGGUGGCAGGCUCACUGACCACAGCUGCUACAUUCAGAAGUCACAGAAAAGGACCCCAACGCACAAAGAUUACAGGCAAGUUUUAUAGUAGGAACAUUUUGGAGCCUACUUCCUUUGCCAUUCACGUCACCAAAAUGACUCCCUACAGCAACUGAAAAACAAGUCUAUUUUCCCAUUCGGUUGUUGCCUCUGUCAAGCAAUGUGCAAAGCCAAACUCAGUCAAUGCUGGGUGAUCCAACCCACCAUGACCCCAAUACUCCGUUGAAUAUAUUAGUCCCAGAACAAAAUGAUCAGGUCCCCAUGCACUCUAAGACACUAAAGAGAAGUCUCCACAAGAAGUAUGAUAAAAAACACAACCUGGCAGCAUUCACCCCUGACUGACUACCAAAACAAAAGCAAAAGGACCCAAACACACACGUGCACGUACACACACACACACACACACACACACACACACACACACCCUUCUGUACCUUCUGUGAAAGGCAGAACUUCUUCAGGGGCCACAAACUUGUGAAAUGAAUCUUCUUCAUUGGGGAACUAGAUAAGGAAAAAAAAAAGAAAAAAAAGAGUGAGACCUAGCAAAUUCCACCUCUAGGUACAUACCCAAGGGAAAUAAAAAUCUUAUGUCCACAAAGAAGUUUGCACACAAAUGCUUCCAGGACCAUUAUUCACUAAAACCAAAGGCUGAACAACCCAACUACCCAAGGGGUGAAUGGAUAAAUAAACUGUGGUAUAUCCAUGCAAGAGAGUAUCAUUCAGCCACAGAAAGAAACAAAGAGCUGUGCUAUAGCUAGGAACCUUGAAAACAUCAUGCGAAGUGAAAGAUGUCAAGAACAAAAGGCACACAUUGUAUGAUUUCUUUUAUAUGAAAUAUCCAAAACAGGCAAAGCCACAGAGACAGAAAACAGAUUAGUGAUUCCUAGGAGAUGGGGAGAGGAGGCAACAGGGAGUGAUUAUGUAAUGGGUACAGAGUGUUUUGCCGGGAUGAUGAAGGUCUGAAACCAGAGAGUGGUAGUUGCACAAUGUUGUGAAUGUAGUAAGUGUCCCUGAACUGUACACUUAAAACUGGCUAAUUGUAUGUUAUGUGAAAUUCACCUCAAUUUAAAAAAGAGACCUACAAAUAGCUUCUAUUGCUAAUGAAAUAACUCUUCAUUUUGUAAUACUGUUUGUAUUCAAGCUACAGAGGAACGUCCCUCCAACUAUGACAAAUAAAACCAUUUCUAUGUUCCUAGUUUCAACUUGUUUGGCAUUUUCAGAAAUGGUCAGGGUGAUGGGGAAUGGUGGCAGUGGAAACAAAGGACCUUCCCCAACUAUGUACUACCCUGACCUUAUAAUUUUGACUUUUCAAAGCUGACAAGUUAUACUAUCAAUUUUUGAGGGGCGCCUGGGGGACUCAGUCGGUUGAGUGUCCGAUUCUUGAUUUCAGCUCAGGUCACGAUCUCACAGUUGGUGAGUUUGAGCCCCACAUCUGGCUCUGCACUUUCAGCCUGAGAUUCUCUCUCCCUCUCUCUCUGCCCCUCCCCUGCUCGCACACGUGCUCUCUCUCUCUCAAAAUAAAUGAACAUUAAAAAAAAAGGAAUUAAAAAAAAAAAAACUAUCAAUUUUUUUCCUGGUUCAAGACUUUUGUGGCUUUUUCCAGCCUCUACUGGGUCUAAUCCAUUUAGUAAACACAGAUAAAAAGAAGCCCCAGAGUGAGCAGGUUGAAGGCCUGGAGAUCAAGGCUACACUUUGGCUUCCUUCUUUCUGUUGGCUACAGACAGACAGACGUACCUGUGGGGAAAGCUUGAACAUAGGAGCACAAACGAUGAGCGGGGUGGAAUGGUGUUUUGCUGCCAGUGCUAGAGUGUGAGUUCCUGUCACGGCUCUCAGGGCACCAUUGGCCAGGAUGGUCUUUGUGCCAAUGAUCACCUUUGGAACAGGAAGCAAAAUGUGAGUCAUCCUAGAGAUACAACCUUAAAUAAGCCAUUGGGCACAAUAGGCUGAAUGCCCAGGCCUCCCUCUUGACAUCGUGAGGGUCACACAGCCGUAAAGGAAAAGGGAUUCUAGACUAAGGACCAUGAGUUCUAGCUCAAAAGUGCCUUCCCAAAGAAUGAAUAUAGUCUGUGACCGGAAGCUGUACCACCUCCUGCUCUUAGCCCUGUCUUCUAGGAUCUCUAUGUCACAGCUCCUGAGAAGCCAGAAGCCUUUCUAUUCAUCAUCCACCACUGCCAAACUCUCUGCUCAGAAAGCAGGGACCCUCUACCCAAUCCCUAGCAGCUGCUACGCUUAGCUUAGUCCUAUUUCAUUCUCUUCAAUGCUUUCACCAAAAAGAAACUACUCUGAGGUGCCCGGCUGGCUCAGUUGUAGAGCAUGUAGAUCAUGACUCUUGAUCUUGGGGUUGUGAGUUCGAGCCCCAUACUGGGUGCAGAGAUUGCUUUAAAAAAUAAAAUCUUUUGGGACGCCUGGGUGGCUCAGUCGGUUGAGCGUCCAACUUCAGCUCAGGUCAUAAUCUCACAGUCCAUGAGUUCAAGCCCUGUGUCGGGCUCUGUGCUGACAGCUCAGAGCCUGGAGCCUGCUUUAGAUUCUGUGUCUCCCUCUCUCUCUCUGCCCCACCCCUGCUCAUGCUCUGUCUCUGUCUCAAAAAUAAAUAAAAACAUUAAAAAAAAUUAAAAUAAAUAAAAUCUUUAAAACAAACAAAUACAACAAAAAGAAGCUACUCUAAGUGAGGAACAAUGAUACAGAUAGAAGAAAAAGAAAUUCAGUUAAUAUAUUAAAAAGGCCCAGGGGCGCCUGGGUGGCUCAGUCGGUUGAGCGGCCAACUUCGGCUCAGGUCAUGAUCUCACAGUCCGUGAGUUCAAGCCCCGCGUCGGGCUCUGUGCUGACAGCUCGGAGCCUGGAGCCUGUUUCGGAUUCUGUGUCUCCCUCUCUCUGACCCUCCCCCGUUCAUGCUCUGUCUCUGUCUCAAAAAUAAACGUUAAAAAAAAAAAAAUUAUGGGGCGCCUGGGUGGCGCAGGCGGUUAAGCGUCCGACUUCAGCCAGGUCACGAUCUCACGGUCCGUGAGUUCGAGCCCCGCGUCGGGCUCUGGGCUGAUGGCUCAGAGCCUGGAGCCAGUUUCCGAUUCUGUGUCUCCCUCUCUCUCUGCCCCUCCCGUGUUCAUGCUGUCUCUCUCUGUCCCAAAAAAAAUAAAAUAAACGUUGAAAAAAAAAACAAAACAAAACAAAACAAACAAACAAAAAAAAUAAAAAAAAAAAGGCCCAAAUAUGUACUUCCAAAAGGUGUUAGAAACUUUCUUUCCUCAUAGAUAUUAUAGGAGGGAGGGGGGGAAAAUCAGUAUUUUAGAAGUACAGUCUUCAUGAAUUUAAUAUAAGUCCAAAUAUACCCACCUUGUUGACUCUUGACAUAACAGCAAAAAUGGCGGCAUCAGUCAUGACAGUUGUCUCAAUACCUGCUUUGGACAAAUUGACUGCCAUUUCGUGACCCUGCAAUAGGACAGAAAGGCUGACAUUAUGAGAGAGAGUGAGAGAGAGUGGAAGGCAUCUCCAAUGGAACUGGAUCUGGAGAAUUCUGUGAUACUGAGCACAGCCGACACACAACUGCCUCCAGAUAACUCCUUUUUCUGCCCGUGGUCAGUAUUCUCUGGUACAUUGCAGGGAAGCCCAGGAGAAGCUAAUAAAUGUUGAGUUCUCCACAGGAGCAUUAGAGCAGCCACAAAACUGGAAAUACUGCUCUUGUGUAUAAUUUGGCAGAGCUGACAGGAUAGGUCCUGGCUCGUUCCUUUACAACAUCCUGCAUCCUUACCUAGUUCCUUCUGAAAGACCUAUUAUUUACGUAGGGAUGGAGUGCGGUCAGGCCAAGCAUCAGUCAUCCCCAAGGUAAUUUACCCUAUUUUGAUUCCCAAAAGAACCAAUAUAUUUCUUUUCUUGAACCCAGCAUUUCACCUAAGCCUCCCAAACCAAUGUUGAAGAGUGUUGACAGGAUGAACAACUUGAAAAUUCCCUUAAUGUUUUAUUUUACUUUAUCUUCUCAACGUCUUGCUUAUCAAUUCAAAGAUAGCACGGAGCCCAUCUAUCACUUCUUGAUUCCCUCCUCAGUUUUCAUUUUUCUUAGCAACUCCAGAAGCCCCCCCCUACCUGACAGAAAGGAGCACAUUCUGCCACAAUGACAUGGAAUUUCCUCUUUCGGGCCGCCUCUUUGAGGAAGGCUUCUACUGUUCGGGAGAAGCCAAUGGUCAUGAUCACCUCAUUGGAGUGGAUGUGCUCCAGAGCCUGGGCUGCAAUGUUCUCUGUUGUCCCUUCUGCAAGAACAGUCAGUUUUGC
rnacentral:lncRNA from 1 species